GACGAACGCUGGCGGCGUGCCUAAUACAUGCAAGUAGAACGCUGAAGGAGGAGCUUGCUUCUCCGGAUGAGUUGCGAACGGGUGAGUAACGCGUAGGUAACCUGCCUGGUAGCGGGGGAUAACUAUUGGAAACGAUAGCUAAUACCGCAUAACAGUAGAUAUCGCAUGAUAUCUGCUUGAAAGGUGCAAUUGCAUCACUACCAGAUGGACCUGCGUUGUAUUAGCUAGUUGGUGAGGUAACGGCUCACCAAGGCGACGAUACAUAGCCGACCUGAGAGGGGGAUCGGCCACACUGGGACUGAGAAACGGCCCAGACUCCUACGGGAGGCAGCAGUAGGGAAUCUUCGGCAAUGGACGGAAGUCUGACCGAGCAACGCCGCGUGAGUGAAGAAGGUUUUCGGAUCGUAAAGCUCUGUUGUAAGAGAAGAACGAGUGUGAGAGUGGAAAGUUCACGCUGUGACGGUAUCUUACCAGAAAGGGACGGCUAACUACGUG
rnacentral:rRNA from 1 species